CCUACGGGGUGCAGCAGUGAGGAAUAUUGGUCAAUGGACGAGAGUCUGAACCAGCCAAGUAGCGUGAAGGAUGACUGCCCUAUGGGUUGUAAACUUCUUUUAUAUAGGAAUAAAAUGAUGCACGUGUGCCUUUUUGUAUGUACUUUAUGAAUAAGGAUCGGCUAACUCCGUGCCAGCAGCCGCGGUAAUACGGAGGAUCCGAGCGUUAUCCGGAUUUAUUGGGUUUAAAGGGAGCGUAGAUGGGUUGUUAAGUCAGUUGUGAAAGUUUGCGGCUCAACCGUAAAAUUGCAAUUGAUACUGGCAGUCUUGAGUACAGUUGAGGUAGGCGGAAUUCGUGGUGUAGCGGUGAAAUGCUUAGAUAUCACGAAGAACCCCGAUUGCGAAGGCAGCUUACUAAACUGUAACUGACAUUGAUGCUCGAAAGUGUGGGUAUCAAACAGGAUUAGAUACCCGAGUAGUC
rnacentral:rRNA from 1 species